rnacentral:rRNA from 1 species
GAUGAACGCUGGCGGCGUGCCUAAUACAUGCAAGUCGAGCGAGAAACUACGAAAAGAUUCUUCGGAUGACUUUCGAAGCGGAAAGCGGCGGACGGGUGAGUAACGCGUAGGCAACCUGCCCUUUGCUCGGGGAUAGCCACUGGAAACGGUGAUUAAUACCCGAUAAUGCAGUCCCAUAGCAUUUUGGGACUGCCAAAGAUUCAUCGGCAGAGGAUGGGCCUGCGUCUGAUUAGCUGGUUGGUGAGGUAACGGCCCACCAAGGCGACGAUCAGUAGCCGACCUGAGAGGGUGAUCGGCCACAUUGGAACUGAGACACGGUCCAAACUCCUACGGGAGGCAGCAGUAGGGAAUCUUGCACAAUGGGCGAAAGCCUGAUGCAGCAACGCCGCGUGAGCGAUGAAGGCCCUUCGGGUCGUAAAGCUCUGUCCUUGGGGAAGAAGAAAGUGACGGUACCCUUGGAGGAAGCCCCGGCUAACUACGUGCCAGCAGCCGCGGUAAUACGUAGGGGGCAGGCGUUAUCCGGAAUCAUUGGGCGUAAAGAGUACGUAGGUGGUUUUCUAAGCGGGAGGUCUAAGGCUGCGGCUUAACUGCAGUUCGCCUCUCGAACUGGGAGACUUGAGUGCUGGAGAGGAAAGUGGAAUUCCUAGUGUAGCGGUGAAAUGCGUAGAUAUUAGGAGGAACACCAGUGGCGAAGGCGACUUUCUGGACAGUAACUGACACUGAGGUACGAAAGCGUGGGGAGCAAACA